rnacentral:rRNA from 1 species
UACAGAGGGUGCGAGCGUUGUCCGGAAUCACUGGGCGUAAAGGGCGCGUAGGUGGCGACCCAAGUCUGUGGUGAAAGCUCGACGCUCAACGUCGAGUCGGCCAUAGAUACUGGGUUGCUUGAGCACUGUAGAGGCAGAUGGAAUUCCGGGUGUAGCGGUGGAAUGCGUAGAGAUUCGGAAGAACACCGGUGGCGAAGGCGGUCUGCUGGGCAGUUGCUGACACUGAGGCGCGACAGCGUGGGGAGCAAACAGG